CUCGGUGGCUAUGGCGGAGGGGUCCUACCCGAUCCCAUCUCGAACUCGGUCGUCAAGCCCUCCAGCGUCGAUGGUACUGCACAGGUGACUGUGUGGGAGAGUAGAACGCCGCCGGGG
rnacentral:rRNA from 2 species